rfam:Loxodonta africana unplaced genomic scaffold scaffold_15, whole genome shotgun sequence.
GGUGCAGCUGUUAAGCGUUCGGCUGCUAACCGAAAGGUUGGUGGUUUGAACCCACCAGCUCCU